CUGUACGAUUGUGGCGCCACUGCCGUCGUCGCGGAUGUGGCAGCCGCGCUCGCGAGCACCGGCGGUAUCCAGGCGUCCUCUCCCUCUGUCGUCGCCUCCGAGAGAGGUACCGGAGCGGCGAGCUGAAGAGGGCUCUUUUCCGAGGCUGAAGCCUACGCCUUCAAGCUUUCUGGAAGAUGGCAUUAGGCAGUAUUCUUUCCGAUGGAGACAACUUCUGAUGCUACCUAGAUUGGCCGAUCUACUUUUUUUAUCAGCGACGCUACUAUCUAUUUCAUGAGGAUGCACUUGGCAGAUCUGUAAGAUCGCAAUGUUCAGCCUGGCUUCUAUCUUUGAUCUGGUAUUGUUGAGGAUAUAGACCUUGGAGUCACCCGCCAGGAUGGCCGGGUUACCCUAAGGAUCAUUACCAG